rnacentral:rRNA from 1 species
GAUGAAUGCUGGCGGCGUGCCUAAUACAUGCAAGUCGAGCGAACAGACGAGGAGCUUGCUCCUUUGACGUUAGCGGCGGACGGGUGAGUAACACGUGGGUAACCUACCUAUAAGACUGGGAUAACUUCGGGAAACCGGAGCUAAUACCGGAUAAUAUUUCGAACCGCAUGGUUCGAUAGUGAAAGAUGGCCCUGCUAUCACUUAUAGAUGGACCUGCGCCGUAUUAGCUAGUUGGUAAGGUAACGGCUUACCAAGGCAACGAUACGUAGCCGACCUGAGAGGGUGAUCGGCCACACUGGAACUGAGACACGGUCCAGACUCCUACGGGAGGCAGCAGUAGGGAAUCUUCCGCAAUGGGCGAAAGCCUGACGGAGCAACGCCGCGUGAGUGAUGAAGAUCUUCGGAUCGUAAAACUCUGUUAUUAGGGAAGAACAAACGUGUAAGUAACUGUGCACGCCUUGACGGUACCUAAUCAGAAAGCCACGGCUAACUACGUGCCAGCAGCCGCGGUAAUACGUAGGUGGCAAGCGUUAUCCGGAAUUAUUGGGCGUAAAGCGCGCGUAGGCGGUUUUUUAAGUCUGAUGUGAAAGCCCACGGCUCAACCGUGGAGGGUCAUUGGAAACUGGAAAACUUGAGUGCAGAAGAGGAAAGUGGAAUUCCAUGUGUAGCGGUGAAAUGCGCAGAGAUAUGGAGGAACACCAGUGGCGAAGGCGACUUUCUGGUCUGUAACUGACGCUGAUGUGCGAAAGCGUGGGGAUCAAACAGGAUUAGAUACCCUGGUAGUCCACGCCGUAAACGAUGAGUGCUAAGUGUUAGGGGGUUUCCGCCCCUUAGUGCUGCAGCUAACACAUUAAGCACUCCGCCUGGGGAGUACGACCGCAAGGUUGAAGCUCAAAGGAAUUGACGGGGACCCGCACAAGCGGUGGAGCAUGUGGUUUAAUUCGAAGCAACGCGAAGAACCUUACCAAAUCUUGACAUCCUUUGACCCUUCUAGAGAUAGAAGUUUCCCCUUCGGGGGACAAAGUGACAGGUGGUGCAUGGUUGUCGUCAGCUCGUGUUGUGAGAUGUUGGGUUAAGUCCCGCAACGAGCGCAACCCUUAAGCUUAGUUGCCAUCAUUAAGUUGGGCACUCUAAGUUGGCUGCCGGUGACAAACCGGAGGAAGGUGGGGAUGACGUCAAAUCAUCAUGCCCCUUAUGAUUUGGGCUACACACGUGCUACAAUGGACAAUACAAAGGGCAGCGAAACCGCGAGGUCAAGCAAAUCCCAUAAAGUUGUUCUCAGUUCGGAUUGUAGUCUGCAACUCGACUACAUGAAGCUGGAAUCGCUAGUAAUCGUAGAUCAGCAUGCUACGGUGAAUACGUUCCCGGGUCU